rnacentral:rRNA from 1 species
AGUGAACGCUGGCGGUAGGCCUAACACAUGCAAGUCGAACGGCAGCACAGUAAGAGCUUGCUCUUACGGGUGGCGAGUGGCGGACGGGUGAGGAAUACAUCGGAAUCUACUUUUUCGUGGGGGAUAACGUAGGGAAACUUACGCAAUACCGCAUACGACCUACGGGUGAAAGCCGGGGAUCUUCGGACCUUGCGCGAUUGAAUGAGCCGAUGUCGGAUUAGCUAGUUGGCGGGGUAAAGGCCCACCAAGGCGACGAUCCGUAGCUGGUCUGAGAGGAUGAUCAGCCACACUGGAACUGAGACACGGUCCAGACUCCUACGGGAGGCAGCAGUGGGGAAUAUUGGGCAAUGGGCGCAAGCCUGAUCCAGCCAUACCGCGUGAGUGAAGAAGGCCUUCGGGUUGUAAAGCCCUUUUGUUGGGAAAGAAAAGCAGCAGGUUAAUACCCCGCUGUUCUGACGGUACCCAAAGAAUAAGCACCGGCUAACUUCGUG